AAGCAUCGGCUAACUCUGUGCCAGCAGCCGCGGUAAUACAGAGGAUGC
rnacentral:ncRNA from 1 species